rnacentral:misc_RNA from 1 species
GAUGAAGAACGCAGCGAAAUGCGAUACUUGGUGUGAAUUGCAGAAUCCCGUGAACCAUCGAGUCUUUGAACGCAAGUUGCGCCCGAAGCCACUAGGCCGAGGGCACGCCUGCCUGGGCGUCACACGCCGUUGCCCCCCCAUCUACUCCUUCGGGAUUGCGGGGGGGCGGAUGAUGGCCUCCCGUGCGCCUAGCCGCGCGGUUGGCAUAAAUACCAAGUCCUCGGCGACGCACGCCACGACAAUCGGUGGUUGCGAAACCUCGGUUGCCCGUCGUGUGCGUUCGUCGCGCACCGAGGGCUCGAAAAAAUGCUCGGCUCCGGCUGGGCUUUCAACGCGACCCCAGGUCAGGCGGGGUUACCCGCUGAAUUUAAGCAUAUCAAUAAGCGGAGGA